GACGGGGGAUGCAAGCGGUAUCCGGAAUCACUGGGCGUAAAGCGUCUGUAGGUGGUGAUGCAAGUCACUGGUACAAAACUCUGGCUCAACCGGAGGAAAGCCAGUGAAACUGCAUGACUAGAGUGUGGGAGAGGUAGAAGGAAUUCCCUGAGUAGCGGUGAAAUGCGUAGAUACAGGGAAGAACACCGGAGGCGAAAGAGUUCUACGGGAACACAAUUGACACUGAGAGACGAAAGUUAGGGGAGCGAAUGGG
rnacentral:rRNA from 1 species